rnacentral:rRNA from 1 species
UACGUAGGCGGAUUAUUAAGUCAGUGGUGAAAGUUUACGGCUCAACCGUAAAAGUGCCAUUGAUACUGGUAGUCUUGAGUACAGUAGAGGUAGGCGGAAUUUAUGGUGUAGCGGUGAAAUGCAUAGAUACCAUAAAGAACACCGAUAGCGAAGGCAGCUUACUAUACUGAGACUGACGCUGAGGCACGAAAGCGUGGGGAGCGAACAGGAUUAGAUACCCUGGUAGUCC